rnacentral:rRNA from 1 species
AUGAACGCUAGCGGCAGGCUUAAUACAUGCAAGUCGAGGGGCAGCAGGGUGGUAGCAAUACCACUGCUGGCGACCGGCAAACGGGUGCGGAACACGUACGCAACUUACCCUGAACUGGGGCAUAGCCCGGGGAAACCCGGAUUAAUACCCCGUAACACUGUGGGGCGGCAUCGCCUUAUGGUUAAAGCUUUUUUGUGGUUCAGGAUGGGCGUGCGGCUGAUUAGGUAGUUGGUUGGGGGUAACGGCCCACCAAGCCGACGAUCAGUAACUGGUGUGAGAGCACGACCAGUCACACGGGCACUGAGACACGGGCCCGACUCCUACGGGAGGCAGCAGUAAGGAAUAUUGGGCAAUGGAGGCAACUCUGACCCAGCCAUGCCGCGUGGAGGAUGAAGGCCCUCUGGGUUGUAAACUUCUUUUACUUGGGACGAAACCACUUUUUUCUAAGGGUGUUGACGGUACCAAGGGAAUAAGCACCGGCUAACUCCGUGCCAGCAGCCGCGGUAAUACGGAGGGUGCAAGCGUUAUCCGGAUUCACUGGGUUUAAAGGGUGCGUAGGCGGGCAGGUAAGCCCGUGGUGAAAUCUCCGAGCUUAACUCGGAAACUGCCAUGGAUACUAUUUGUCUUGAAUACUGUGAAGGUGAGCGGAAUAUGUCAUGUAGCGGUGAAAUGCUUAGAGAUGACAUAGAACACCAAUUGCGAAGGCAGCUCACUGCGCAGUGAUUGACGCUGAGGCACGAAAGCGUGGGGAUCAAACAGGAUUAGAUACCCUGGUAGUCCACGCCCUAAACGAUGGAUACUCGACAUACGUGAUAUGACUAUGUGUGUCUGAGCGAAAGCAUUAAGUAUCCCACCUGGGAAGUACGACCGCAAGGUUGAAACUCAAAGGAAUUGGCGGGGGUCCGCACAAGCGGUGGAGCAUGUGGUUUAAUUCGAUGAUACGCGAAGGAACCUUACCUGGGCUAGAAUGCAUGGUAGACCGUGGGUGAAAGCUCACUUUGUAGCAAGACACUAGCCAUGUAAGGUGCUGCGUGGCUGUCGUCAGCUCGUGCCGUGAGGUGUUGGGUUAAGUCCCGCAAGCGAGCGCAACCCCCAUCAGCUAGUUGCCAUCAGGUAACGCUGGGAACUCUAGUGAAACUGCCGUCGUAAGACGUGAGGAAGGAGGGGAUGAUGUCAAGUCAUCAUGGCCUUUAUGCCCAGGGCUACACACGUGCUACAAUGGAGUGGACAAAGGGCUGCAACAUAGUAAUAUGAAGCUAAUCCCAAAAACCACUUCUCAGUUCAGAUUGGAGUCUGCAACUCGACUCCAUGAAGCUGGAAUCGCUAGUAAUCGUAGAUCAGCAAUGCUACGGUGAAUACGUUCCCGGACCUUGCACACACCGCCCGUCAAGCCAUGGAAGCUGGGUGUACCUAAAGUCGGUAACCGUAAGGAGCCGCCUAGGGUAAAACUAGUGACUGGGGCU